UGAUUCAAAAACACCAGAGGACCACGACCAGGACACCAUGAGCCCCCAUUCCUACACCAGUGCCUCACAUGCUCUCUCCCCAAUGCCUCCGUUUCUCCAGAAAAGCUAGAGGAACCUUUUCCUCAUCCCCUUCGAAGGAAAAGAUGAGUGAGGAUCUCCGCGUUGGAGGAAGAGGGAGUCGAAAGAGGCUUCCACUCUUUGAAAAAGGCUUCCAUGCUUCUCUGUGACAUCCCGCAAAAACAGGCAGAGUCUAAGAUGUGCAUGUACCCACUCAAGCCUCAAGCUUGUAUCUGUAUCCACAUCCAGGGACAUGAACAAGAACUGAGCCAGGAGGAGAAGGCUGGUUAGCAGAGAAAUGGCAACUGAGCCCGGAGCUGGAACUAGAAACUUUCUGUCAGUGUAACAUCUGCGUGGGUGGUGACCCAAUGGUGGUUGGGCUUCGGGUCACGUGACACCUUCUUUGUAGCUCCGGAAGAGGAUUGUGAAGUUUAGGUUUCGUGGAAGAAACCGUAAUCGGCCAGAUUUUCUUGUUGGUGGCGGGAAGGGGUGGGGGGUGGGGGGUGCAUGGACGCUGUGGCCAAAGGAGCUAACAGACGAAAGGUCAAUGAAUGAAAAACCUAGAGGCAUACAGGCCAAACAGAAAAACCUACAGAGAGCAUCCAAGAGUCCCCCAUUACCUCCCAACUUGCUACUUAAACCACAGCUGAAGAAGUUGGCAAAAUGUUACAGGCUCUUAUGAGUGAGAAAAUGGUAUUUAAACUUAAGACAUAUCAAGGGGGAGACAGGAACCUGGGCAGUGGACAAAAAGGCCAGGGAAGGGUCUUCAGUGUCCUUGUCCUUGUCCUUCUUCCCUUGGGGGAAAUUUGGCAGUCAGCAGCCUUGCUCUGCUAUCUAAAUUGGACCACCAGGACAAGAUAAAAUUGAUAACAGAAAGUUUAUUCAAGAAUUGUUUGACAGACAACCCUUUUAGGUAAGGAAAAAAGUAACUACUGAAGAACAAAGAAAGUUCCAAGAGGGAAUUAACUCUAGUUCUACAAAUUCAGGACUAUACAGUGACGAUUAGGAGCUGAGUUCAUGCCUUUUAGAACUAAUUACAAUUGUUCGAUAAUUGAGGAAAAAAAUCAAGAUUUGGGGGGAAUUACCUACAAAGAUGUAAGGUGUGUUAAUUUGGGCGCUUCUUGGAUUCUACCCUGAGGAGGAGGCGCGUGGUGAGAGGAGAGGUCUGUGUAGGUGGGGUGGGGUUCGCAGGGUCCGUGGUGCUGGCUGGGCGCCAUAGGGGGCGCCCCGUUGUAGUCCAGGUUCCCGGAAGGGUGAUGGGAAAGGUGGUUGAGGCCAUAGAGGGAGGGGCCGGCAGGGGGCGGCAGCGGAUCCGCGUAGCCGCCCCCGCCCACGUACACCGGACUGCCCUGCAUGGUGGGCGUCCCGUAGGCGCCCCCGUUGGCUUGGAGGACGUGCGGCUCAUACUCGGGCGCCGGGGUCGGAGGGUACUUCUGCGGGGCGCCGCAGCCUUUGAGAGGGGGCUGGUAGUUGGAGGGCAGCGCGUAGGCAUUCUGGUGGGCUUUACCGAAGGCGGGUGGGGACGGGCUCUCGUAGCUGGGGGUCAUGGAGUGUAAGGCGUUCAUGAAGCCGGCCGUGGACUGCAUGGGCUGCGGGGGGCUGCCGGCUGGAGAUGGGCCCCCCGACGACGAGGCCAAUCCCUUGGCCUUCUGGUCCUUCUUGUACUUCAUGCGCCGGUUCUGGAACCAGAUCUUGAUCUGCCGCUCGCUGAGGUUCAGCAGGUUGGCCAUCUCUACACGGCGAGGCCGGCACAGGUAGCGGUUAAAAUGGAACUCCUUCUCCAGCUCCACCAGCUGUGCGCUCGUGUACGCCGUCCGCGCCCGCUUGGACGCCGCCGACCCCGGGGGGCUCUUGUCCCCUCCCCCGCCGCCGCCGCCACCGCCCCCGCUGCCACCACUGCCUCCGCCGCCGCCGCCACCGCCGCCGCCACCACAGGCCUCUGCUGGAUCCGAGGGGGAGGGGUGGGAAGGGGAGAAAAUGAAAUAAAAGAUAAUUACUGAACAC